rnacentral:rRNA from 1 species
CUUCGGAGUUGACGAUAAUGGAAUGAGCGGCGGACGGGUGAGUAACACGUAGGCAACCUGCCUGUAAGACUGGGAUAACUCGUGGAAACGCGAGCUAAUACCGGAUAACACUUUUCAUCUCCUGAUGAGAAGUUGAAAGGCGGCUUUUGCUGUCACUUACAGAUGGGCCUGCGGCGCAUUAGCUAGUUGGUAAGGUAACGGCUUACCAAGGCGACGAUGCGUAGCCGACCUGAGAGGGUGAUCGGCCACACUGGGACUGAGACACGGCCCAGACUCCUACGGGAGGCAGCAGUAGGGAAUCUUCCGCAAUGGACGAAAGUCUGACGGAGCAACGCCGCGUGAGUGAUGAAGGUUUUCGGAUCGUAAAACUCUGUUGUUAGGGAAGAACAAGUACUAUAGUAACUGAUAGUACCUUGACGGUACCUAACCAGAAAGCCACGGCUAACUACGUGCCAGCAGCCGCGGUAAUACGUAGGUGGCAAGCGUUGUCCGGAAUUAUUGGGCGUAAAGCGCUCGCAGGCGGUUCUUUAAGUCUGAUGUGAAAUCUUACGGCUCAACCGUAAACGUGCAUUGGAAACUGGGGAACUUGAGUGCAGAAG